rnacentral:lncRNA from 1 species
GGCCCAUGCCCAUCUUUCUCCUCAUGGGGCCCAAAGGUACUUGAGAUACUGGAAUGCGAGGGAGAAAGGUUGGGGAUGGGAGGUGAGUCAGAUCUUGGACGUUACCUGUGGUGCGUACCGUGGGUGAAGGCAUGGAGUAUCUAGAGACGUGUUGGUGGGAGAAGGUGAAGCUGGAGGGAGAAGCAGGACUAUAGAGAGAGGGCAACACCUUGAGGAUGCUGCCAAGGAGCCAUCGUGUUGAGGGAGACAAGGGGUCUCGAUCUGCUUUGCUUCACAAACGUUACUGUCC